CCUGGCCUGACAUACUAAGAACUUUCCAGAGAUGGAUUGGUGCCUUCGGGAACUUAGAUACAGGUGCUGCAUGGCUGUCGUCAGCUCGUGUCGUGAGAUGUUGGGUUAAGUCCGCAACGAGCGCAACCCUUUUCCUUAUUUGCCAGCGGGUAAUGCCGGGAACUUUAAGGAUACUGCCAGUGACAAACUGGAGGAAGGCGGGGACGACGUCAAGUCAUCAUGGCCCUUACGGCCAGGGCUACACACGUGCUACAAUGGUCGGUACAAAGGGUUGCUACCUCGCGAGAGGAUGCUAAUCUCAAAAAGCCGAUCGUAGUCCGGAUCGCAGUCUGCAACUCGACUGCGUGAAGUCGGAAUCGCUAGUAAUCGCGGAUCAGAAUGCCGCGGUGAAUACGUUCCCGGGCCUUGUACACACCGCCCGUCACACCAUGGGAGUUUGUUGCACCAGAAGUAGGUAGUCUAACCGCAAGGAGGACGCUUACCACGGUGUGGCCGAUGACUGGGGUGAAGUCGUAACAAGGUAAGCGUAGAUGA
rnacentral:rRNA from 1 species